UUAAAAAGCUCGUAGUUGAAUUUCGGGAUUAGUACGCUGGUCGCGCCUUCGGUACGUACUGGUGUUACUGAUUUCUACCUUCUGACGAACCAUCAUGUCAUUAAUUUGGUGUGGUGGGGAAUCAGGACUGUUACUUUGAAAAAAUUAGAGUGUUUAAAGCAGGCUCGCGCUUGAAUACAUUAGCAUGGAAUAAUGAAAUAGGACGUUGAUCCUAUUUUGUUGGUUUCUAGGAUUGACGUAAUGAUUAAUAGGGAUAGUUGGGGG
rnacentral:rRNA from 1 species